AUGAUGUUAUGCCCCAGGAAGUCAAGCCAACAAAUCAACUUUACAAAUCCAAGGUCUGCCAUACCCUCUUCUCUCCCAGAUCACCUUAACAAAUCCAAGAUCUGGCACACCAGUACGAAUAAAAACAGAGCUAGGGAACAGAGGAUGGCAGCUAAUGAGAUUUGCUCCUGGAAAACUCACCAGAGCCGUAAUUCAUCGGCUGCUUUUGAGUCACUACAGCUGAAGCAGGGAGGAGCUAUAAGAAAUCAUUUUGUCACCUGCUUUAGACAGCUGAAAACCCACCCAACAAGGACCGCACUGAUCUCAGGCAAAUGAGUGGGAGACAAAAGUACCCAGAACCCUACAUCAAACACUGGUAAAACUUCGUAUUAUAAAUCUUCAUUUUUGUGACCUUAAUUCAAUUUUCAUUUAAUCUGUUGGGCAGCAUAUGCUAAGUUAAAAGUAAUGUGAAGAAAUUGUUUCACUUUUAAAUGAAUGCCAUAUUUUCUCUAGUCUAAGAACAAAACACCGACCAGGAGAUUGAAGUCAGGUUGGCAAGGCCCUGAGCCAGCACCUCCACCAUAUUACUCAGACACAUUGAUGACCCAAAAGCUUAAAUUUUAAACUACUCCUAGAACUCUGAUCAUACUUGCUGGUAUAAAAAAAUGCCAUCAUAAUAUCUCCCUCAAAUUUUAUAAUUUUAUAAUAUGAAUCAAUGAAUGAAUGAAUGAAUGAAUUCAGGUACAUCUGCUGUCUGUUGGUGGCAUUUUUUGAGAAGAAAUUCAAUUGUUACCCAGACCCUGGAGUGAGACUCCUCCGUAAGCACCCAGCAGAGGGAAUCCCCUUCAGGAACAAUGUCACUAUGAUCCCCUAGCCUUGAAAUGAAGGAUCUCACUGAUAGCUUCCUCUUUGCCCAGAAACUUGGACCAAGUUCCCAUCUUAUCCACAUAUUCCCAGCCAACUCAGAAAGGGGAUUUCCUGGCCUCUGUGUACCUAGGUUAAGUCUUCAGUGUCUCACACAUCACAUGAUGCAAAGAAGUCAAGGGAAGACAUGGUCUACUUAAAAGAAACUGUAAGAGUUGGGUAUUCCUGAUGCGUUCAGCACUCCUCUUAGGAGUGCAUAAAAAGUAAAGACUAGAGCUCCAUCAUGUGACCACGACAUUAACAUUAGAACUUUUUUUUUCUUCCCUGGUUCAUAAGGUUUCUGAGAAAUUAAGGGUAUCCAUUUCCAGAGCCCUGGAAAAGAUUUAAAAACAUGAACUACAUUAAGUACUGUGUCUUGUCUCAGAAGGAUCUACAUUUAAAAAGCUUGGAGAUCGUGGCUUGGGAAAUGUUG
rnacentral:lncRNA from 1 species